rnacentral:rRNA from 1 species
GGGAUAGCCGUUGGAAACGACGAAUAAUACCCUAUGAAACUAUCACUUCGCAUGAAGCGAUAGUCAAAGUGUUAGCGGUGUAAGAUGGACUUGCGUCUGAUUAGCUAGUUGGUGAGAAAAAAGCCCACCAAGGCAACGAUCAGUAGCCGGCUUGAGAGAGUGUACGGCCACAUUGGGACUGAGACACGGCCCAG